rnacentral:rRNA from 1 species
CGCGUAGGCGGUGGACCCAGUCCGGGGUGAAAUCUUUCGGCUUAACCGGAAAAGUGCCUUGGAUACUGGUUCACUCGAGGGAGGUAGGGGCAUGUGGAACUUCCGGUGGAGCGGUGAAAUGCGUUGAUAUCGGAAGGAACGCCGGUGGCGAAAGCGACGUGCUGGCCCUCUUCUGACGCUGAGGCGCGAAAGCCAGGGGAGCAAACG